rnacentral:lncRNA from 1 species
GGAUGGUCAGCGUUUUUAAAGCUGGUUGGAAAUGGAGACGAAACGUGUACUGAAGGCCAGAUAGAUCUGCUGCAAGACCUACCUCUGCCUUCUUUGUGUGGAAUUAGAAUUGCAAAGCCUCAUGCUAUAAAACCCAAAUGGAGAUCUUGCAUAAAAUUGACUUGGAGCCAGAAGGGAGAGUGUAUGUCAUCAUAGACCUUUCAGGAUCAUCAGGUGAAGGCAUUGAAGUGGUUCUGUCACAGGGGAGAUGGAUGUUUUUCCAACCUUCCACUGGUAGUUGGUUGAUACCCAGACAGUCAUUGUUCUAGUAUUCCAUCACAAGAUGUAUUCAGACCCUGCUUAUGGCUUCUGAAUAUUUGUUCUGCACUGAGAGGGA